GCAGAAGAUUGAGGCGGUAAAGAAUUGGCCCAGACCUACGACACCUACUGAGGUACGCAACUUUCUAGGGUUAGAAGAUUAUUAUAGGAGAUUCGUAGAAAAGUCUGCCUCAAUUUCAGCGCCUUUGACAAGGCUAACUCAAAAGGCAGACAAGUUCCAGUUGACUGAUGCUUGUGAGAGAAGCUUCCUGCUAUUGAAAGACAAAUUGACUACAGCUCAUGUCAUCUUUACCUUAUGCUUUAAGUGAGGGAUUAAUUAGUGGCUAAUUUGGAUUGAUUUAAUCCAAUGGACUCCACCACUCAUAAUUGGUGGCUGAUUAGGAUUAAUUUAAUCCAGUGGGGCCCAUCACUCAAGGCAAAAAUUAAAAAGGGAUCAGAUUGUGGGCUGGCCUUAGUGGACAGGUGUAGAGGGGGGCUGCCUCCACUUCAUACUAUUAAAUGAUGUGGAGAAAUCCACUCCAUGCUAAAUGAAAGUGGUGAAAUGCAUUGCUGCAUAUCAUCUUCUUCUUCACCACUUGUCUUAGGCAGCCAUGGAAAUGGAGAAACCAACCCUGCAACUCUUGGCCAGCAGCUGCAAAUAAUUUGGUUAGUAAUCUCCUUGUUUGGUGUGUUAAUUCUUUAGAAUACCCUUGUUAAUUAUCCAUUAAUUUUAAGAAGGGGGCGUGACCAGUAGCUUAGGAAGUUUGUUUUAGUUAUUGAAUGUGCUAAGUAUGAAUGGAAAUCAUAAUCGGAUUAUUAGUGGUGUCGUGUUGGUGCUUGGGCUGUUUUGAUUAAAGCAAACUGCAGGAAAAUUCUGUUUUGGCAUUAUGUAUAUGUUGAAUAUGAUUAUGAGUAUAUACUGCAAAGGAUGAAUACGAUAAGGUAGAUGUGUUGCGAAUUAUAAAACGAGUUAUCGCUCGGUGUGUCGUUGCUUCACUGCUAUGGUUGCCAAGACGGAACUGUUUUGGGGAGGGGGCUGUUUAAUAUGAUUCUUUGGGUUAUAUGUGUUAUUGGUAUUACUGUGGAUAAUUUGGAAUGUUGUCGAAUUGGGACGAAGUAAAGAAAAUAGGGGAGGUGCUGCCGAAUUUUCGUUAGAUUAUUAGCUAGCUUACAAGAAAGUAAAGCACGAUGUUUAUCUAAUUGCGGCACGAUUGUUGCUUGUUAUAGAUUAAUAGCUUGAGGAGUAAAUAUUGGACGUGCGGCUUGAUUAUACGAUAUGUAACGUUGUCCCUUCUUUCUUUGCUUGGCAUGACUUUUAAAAAUAAGAGAAUAACGGACAGAUUUGAUACUUAUCUCUAGAGCGUCUAGGUGACGUAUAUUCUUGCUUCCACAAUUAUUCCUCUAUAUAUCGGCUAUGUCUAAGGCUAUGAUGAUUUCUAAUAUCUAUGGUAAUGCUUCUUAGAGUCAUUGAGAUUUUACGUUUCCAUAUCGUAUUAAAGGUUCAUAAUCUUGAUAAAACAUUAAUCUUUUGUAAUACUCCUUGCUGGUUCACAUUGAUUGUUCUAUUGAGUUAUAAGAAAUGAUUUUAAUUGCAUAUGGUUGCUCAUAAUAUUCUGCUCGUGCAUAGAGUCAUUUAUCAUUUCACUGAGUCCCAGGCCGGGUAAUGUUCGUGCGGAGUUUCUUGCAUAUGUCACCAAGUUCCUCACUAGAGGGCCGGGUAUGUAUAUUAUAUAUAUGAUUGGUGAUGAGGAUGGUUAUGAUGAUGAUGAUGACGGAGAUGACGUGAUGAUUAUUUUGCCGAGCCCCUUACUAGGGAAGCUGGGCACCUUAAAUGUUAAAUAUAUGCAUGAUUUUCAGUUAAAAGGGUACAUGUGUGGUGAUAUUUUUUUUUGACUUGCCAUGUUGGUAUCAUGUAAUCUUUACCUUAUGCUUUACAUACUCAGCACAUAUCAGACAGAGGAGCUCAAUUUACAGCCAACUUUUGGAGAUCUUUUUAGAAGGGAUUGGGGACACAGGUGAACCUUAGUACAACAUUUCACCCUCAGACUGAUGGGCAGGCCGAGCGUACUAUUCAGACACUAGAAGAUAUGUUGCGGGCCUGUAUUAUUGACUUUAACAUUAGCUGGGAUGACCACUUGCCGCUCAUUGAGUUUGCCUAUAACAAUAGCUACUAUUCUAGUAUCCACAUGGCUCCGUACGAGACCUUAUAUGGGAGGAAGUGCAGAUCACCUAUUGGUUGGUUUGAUGUUGGCGAGACUAAGUUAAUAGGCCCGGAUGUGAUUCAACAAGCUUUUUACAAGGUGAAGCUUAUUCAAGAAAGAUUAUUAACAGCCCAGAGUCGACAAAAUUCAUAUGCAGAUAAUCGGCGUCGAGAUUUGGAGUUUCAGAUUGGUGACUGGGUAUUCCUGAAGGUAUCACCCAUGAGGGGUGUGAUGAGAUUCGUCAGGAAGGGGAAGCUCAGUCCGAGAUACAUUGGGCCUUAUCAGAUUGUUCGUAGGAUAGGCAAGGUUGCCUAUGAGUUUGAUCUACCAUCUGGUUUGGAGGCGGUACAUCCAGUCUUCCAUGUAUCGAUGCUACAUAAAUAUAUUGGUGAUCCUUCUAGAGUAUUCCCCGUAGAUGAUGUUUAGGUAACAGAGGAGUUGUCAUAUGAGGAGAAAGCCGUAGCUAUACUUGAUUGCCAGGUUAGAAGGUUACGUACUAAGGAUGUGGCUUCCAUCAAAGUGUUGUGGAAAAAUACCAAUAGGGAGGAGAUGACUUGGGAAGCGGAAGACAAAAUGAAGAAUAAGUAUCCUUACUUGUUCCCCGUACGUGCAGGUAAUUCAAUUCCUAGCUUGACUAUAUUGAUAGAUAAACGAGAUUACGUAGCUGUGAGGCAUCUGUAAGUUACGGAAUGCAGGUUGAUAGGUAUAACUUUUAGAGAGACCUCUCUGGAUUUGUUUUUGCAAGAAGCUAAAUUAACAUUCGAGGAUGAAUGUUCCUAAGGGGGGAAGGAUAUUAUGCCUCGUAUUUUUUAUACGUAGUGCGCAUCAUGAUCUAGUAGACGUAAGUCCGGGGAAUGAGAUUUUAUUUUAAGUUCCAACUGAUUAAAGAAAUAUUAGGCAAGGAUGUUAAUUCCAAAUGUGAUAUUAAGUAUGAUUUGGCUGAUGUAAGUACCAUUAACUUUAAGUGAGGGAUUAAUUAGUGGCUGAUUAAGGAUUAAAUUUAUCUAGUGGGCCUCACCACUCAAGGCAAAUUAAAAGGAGUCAAAAUGGGAGUUGUCCUUAGUGGGACACGUUUAGAGGGGGGAUGCCUCCAAUUCAUAUUAUUAAUGAGGUGGUGAAAUGCAUUGCAACAUAUCAUCUUCUUCACCACUUGGCUUAGGCAGCCAUGGAAAUGGAGAAACCAACCCUGCAACUCUUGGCCAGCAGCUGCAAAUAAUUUGGUUAGUAAUCUCCUUGCUUGGUGUGUUAAUUCUUUAGAAUACCUUGUUAAUUACCCAUUAAUAUUAAGAAGGGGGCGUGACCAGUAGCUUAGGAAGUUUGUUUUAGUUAUUGAAUGUGUUAAGUAUGAACGGAAACCAUUAUCGGAUUAUUAGUGGUGUCGUGUUGGUGCUUGGGCUGUUUUGAUUAAAGCAAACUGCGGGAAAAUUCUGUUUUAGCGUUGUAUAUGUUAAAUGUGACUAUGAGUAUAUACUCAAAAGUAUGAAUACGAUAAGGUAGAUGUGUUGCGAAUUAUAAAACGAGUUCUCGCUCGAUGUGUCGUUGCUUCGCUGCUAUGGUUACCAAAACAGAACUGUUUUGGGGAGGGGGCUGUAUAAAAUUAUUCGUUGAGUUAUAUGUGUUACUGGUAUUAUUGUGGAUAAUUUGGGUUGUUGUCAGACUGGGACAAAGUAAGGAAAAUAGAGGAAGUGCUGCCAGAUUUUCGUUAGAUUAUUAGCUUGCUUACAAGUUAGUAAAGCGCGACGUUUAUCUAAUUGUGGCACGAUUGUUGCUUGUUAUAGAUUAAUAGCUUGAGCAGUAAGUAUUGGACAUGCGGCUCGACUAUACGGUAUGUAACGCUAUCCUUUCUUUCUUUGUUUGGCAUGACUUUUAAAAAUGAGCGAAUAACGGACAGGUUUGAUACUUAUCUUUAGAGCAUCUAGGUGACGUAUAUUCUUGCUUCCACAACUAUUCCUCUAUAUAUCGGUUAUGUCUAAGGCUUAAUGAUUUCUCAAAUCUAUGGUAGUGCUUCUUAGUCAUUGAGAUUUUACGUUUCCAUAUCGUAUUAAAGGUUCAUAAUCUUGAUAAAACGUUAAUCUUUGGUAAUACUCCUUGCUGGUUCACGUUGAUUGUUCUAUUGAGUUAUAAGAAAUGAUUUUAAUUGCAUAUGGUUGCUCAUAAUAUUCUGCUCGUGCAUAGAGUCAUUUAUCAUUUCACCGAGUCCCGGGACGGGUAAUGUUCGUGCGGAGUUUCUUGCAUAUGUCACCGAGUUCCUCACUAGAGGGCCGGGUAUGUAUAUUAUAUAUAUGAUUGGUAAUGAGGAUGGUUAUGAUGAUGAUGAUGACGGAGAUGACGUGAUGGUUAUUUUGCCGAGCCCCUUACUAGGGAAGAUGGGCACCUUAUAUGUUAAAGAUAUGCAUGAUUUUCACUUAAAAGGGUACAUGUGUGGCGAUAUUUUGUUUUGACUUGCCAUAUUGGUAUCAUGUCAUCUUUACCUUAUGCUUUACAUACUCAGAACAUUGUCUGUACUGACCCCCCUUUCCUGGGGGGCUGCGUUUCAUGCCCGUAGGUGUAGACGCACAGUUCGGUGAUCCUCCCGCCUAGGAUAUCUACUCUGCUAAUUGGGAGACCUCCACUGUUCCGGAGCCCAGUCGUUUUGGUACAUAACUUUUGUGUAGUCUUUUGCUCGUCUAUGGGUAUGGCGGGGCCCUGUCCCGUCGAGUUUCACUAAUGUACUCUUAGAGGUCUGUGGACAUUAUGUGGGUUGUAUAUAUAUGUUUUGGAUAAUGGUCUGGACAUGGUUUGUUUGGGAUGUCCGCUUGUACAGGGGCAGCCUUGUCGGCUUACGUAUGUUAUUAUGCUUUGAAUAGUGGUGGCCUUGUCGGCUCGCGUAUGUUGUUAUGGUUAAAUGGUUAUGACUCCUUAUGAGACAGGUCCUCUUUAUAUAUAUAUGAAGUUGGGGUUGGCUUGAUUUGAUUAAAUUCCGUAUUGUCUUAGUUUCAGUUGGUUAUACUUAGCAGGUUUGUAUGUGGGUGUCAAAAACGGGCACUAGUCACGGCCCAUCGGGUUGGGUCGUGACACUUGAAUUGUAUGUCAUGCUUAGAUUAUGCCUAAAUGAAGUAUGUGUAUAUGUUGAGAAUGCUAGUCUGUGAGAAAUAAUAAAAGCAGGUUAAGAAUUCAAUAUUAAAUAAUGGUGCUUACAUGUACUCACACUUAUAAUUUGAAUGAUGAAUGAAUGAUUGAAGUUAAAGAAUGUGAAUGAAAUGAGGAGUUUUGGGGUGAGCCCUCAUUGUGAGUUUAGAUGAAGUGUUUAGUAACAAACUCACUACUUCGCAAGAGCUUUCUAAUUUAGGUUGGAGGAUGGACACCCAUUAAGAGUUGAGAUAGAGUGUCCAAUGUUAUCCUUGACCUGUAAUAAUGAAUGUUUAAGACUCAUUGAGGGAGUUAUGCUUAGUACCGAGAGGAUUUGUUAUGCCUCGUAUUUUUUUUAUACGUAGUGCGCAUCGUGAUCUAGAAGACAUAAAUAAAUAUUAGGCAAGGAUGUUAUUUCCAAAUGUGAUAUUAAGUAUGAGUUGGCUAAUGUAAGUGCCAUUAACUUUAAGUGAGGGAUUAAUUAGUGGCUAAUUUGGAUUAAUUUAAUCCAAUGGGCCCCACCACUCAUAAUUGGUGGCUGAUUAGGAUUAAUUUAAUCCAGUGGGGCCCACCACUCAAGGCAAAAAUUAAAAAGGGAUCAGAUUGUGGGCUGGCCUUAGUGGACAGGUGUAGAGGGGGGCUGCCUCCACUUCAUACUAUAAAAUGAGGUGGAGAAAUCCACUCCAUGCUAAAUAAAGUGGUGAAAUGCAUUGCUGCAUAUCAUCUUCUUCUUCACAACUUGUCUUAGGCAGCCAUGGAAAUGGAGAAACCAACCCUGCAACUCUUGGCCAGCAGCUGCAAAUAAUUUGUUUAGUAAUCUCCUUGUUUGGUGUGUUAAUUCUUUAGAAUACCCUUGUUAAUUAUCCAUUAAUUUUAUGAAGGGGGCGUGACCAGUAGCUUAGGAAGUUUGUUUUAGUUAUUGAAUGUGCUAAGUAUGAAUGGAAAUCAUAAUCGGAUUAUUAGUGGUGUCGUGUUGGUGCUUGGGCUGUUUGAUUAAAGCAAACUACUGGAAAAUUCUGUUUUGGCAUUAUGUAUAUGUUGAAUGUGAUUAUGAGUAUAUACUCCAAAGGAUGAAUACGAUAAGGUAGAUGUGUUACGAAUUAUAAAACGAGUUAUCACUCGGUGUGUCAUUGCUUCGCUGCUAUGGUUGCCAAGACGGAACUAUUUUGGGGAGGGGGCUGUUUAAUAUGAUUCUUUGGGUUAUAUGUGUUAUUGGUAUUGCUGUGGAUAAUUUGGAUUGUUGUCGGAUUGGGACGAAGUAAGGAAAAUAGGGGAGGUGCUGCCGAAUUUUUGUUAGAUUAUUAGCUAGCUUACAAGAAAGUAAAGCACGAUGUUUAUCUAAUUGCGGCACGAUUGUUGCUUGUUAUAGAUUAAUAGCUUGAGCAGUAAAUAUUGGACGUGGGGAUCGAUUAUACGAUAUGUAACGUUGUCCCUUCUCUCUUUGCUUGGCAUGACUUUUAAAAAUAAGCGAAUAACGGACAGAUUUGAUACUUAUCUCUAGAGCGUCUAGGUGACGUAUAUUCUUGCUUCCACAAUUAUUCCUCUAUAUAUCAGCUAUGUCUAAGGCUAUGAUGAUCUCUAAUAUCUAUGGUAAUUCUUCUUAGAGUCAUUGAGAUUUUACGUUUCCAUAUCGUAUUAAAGGUUCAUAAUCUUGAUAAGACAUUAAUCUUUUGUAAUACUCCUUGCUGGUUCAUGUUGAUUGUUCUAUUGAGUUAUAAGAAAUGAUUUUAAUUGCAUAUGGUUGCUCAUAAUAUUCAGCUCGUGCAUAGAGUCAUUUAUCAUUUCACCGAGUCUCGGGCCGAGUAAUGUUCGUGCGGAGUUUCUUGCAUAUGUCACCGUGUUCCUCACUAGAGGGCCAUGUAUGUAUAUUAUAUAUAUGAUUGGUGAUGAGGAUGGUUAUGAUGAUGAUGAUAACGGAGAUGACGUGAUGAUUAUUUUGCCGAGCCCCUUACUAGGGAAGCUGGGCACCUUAAAUGUUAAAUAUAUGCAUGAUUUUCAGUUAAAAGGGUACAUGUGUCGUGAUAUUUUGUUUUGACUUGCCAUAUUGAUAUAAUGUCAUCUUUACCUUAUGCUUUACAUACUCAGCACAUUGUCCGUGCUGUCUUUUGGGCUGACUAAUGCUCCAGCGGUGUUCAUGGAUUUAAUGAAUCGAGUAUUUAAACCAUUCCUUGAUAUGUUUGUUAUUGUAUUUAUAGACGAUAUUCUGGUCUAUUCACGUUCAGAAGAGGAGCAUGCAGAUCAUUUAAGGACGGUACUUAGGGUGCUUCAGCACCAGAAGUUGUAUGCUAAAUUUUCUAAGUGCGAGUUCUGGUUGACUUCAGUGGCAUUCUUGGGGCAUAUUAUUGGAGCUGAUGGUAUUCGGGUAGACAUGCAGAAGAUUGAGGCAGUAAAGACUUGGCCCAGACCUACGAUACCUACUGAGGUACGCAGCUUUUUGGGGUUAGCAGGAUAUUACAGGAGAUUCGUAGAAAAGUUUGCCUCAAUUUCAGCGCCUUUGACAAGGUUAACUCAAAAGGCAGCCAAGUUCCAGUGGACUGAUGCUUGUGAGCGAAGCUUCCAGCUAUUGAAAGACAAAUUGACUACAGCUCCAGUCCUAACUCUUCCGGAGGGACCAGACGGCUAUGUUAUUUAUUGUGAUGCUUCGGGUGUUGGGCUAGGAUGUGUAUUGAUGCAGCAUGGAAAAGUUAUAGCCUAUGCCUCCCGACAACUUAGGAAGCAUGAAAAGAACUAUACUACUCACGAUCUGGAGUUAGCGGUGGUGGUUCAUGCCUUGAAGAUAUGGAGACAUUAUUUAUAUGGUGUCCAUGUGGACAUCUAUACAGAUCAUAAGAGUCUCCAAUAUAUCUUUAAACAGAAGGAGCUGAACUUACGACAGAGGCGGUGGUUAGAGUUGCUAAAGGAUUAUGAUGUUGAUAUUUUAUAUCAUCCAGGGAAAGCGAAUGUUGUAGCAGAUGCUCUUAGCCGUAAGUCCAUGGGUAGCUUGGCAGAUGUACAACCAGAAGGGAGGGA
rnacentral:lncRNA from 1 species